UGCUGGGAUUACAGGCGUGAGCCACCGCGCCCGGCCAGAAUGAGAUUUUUAACACGAGCAGGAAGCACUCCAUGUAAACCUACUGUUUAAUUGGAUAUUGUACUCAAAGGUGCUUCUCUAAAUGAGCCAGUGAAAACCCAAGUGGGCGUUGGAUAAUACUUAACAGAUAGGGUUGCAUAGUUUCAGUGUAACGGUGCCUCUGUGGGUUACAGCACCAUGGUCAAAACUGGAAAAAUAGUUUCUUAGAAACGAAUAAAGGCAAACUAUGGGAAAAUGGUCAUGGAAGGCUCUCUCACUAAGAAGAAGAAAACUCAGAAUGUCUUGUUAUUAGCAACAUAGAUCUCCAACUAAAGGGCUUACUCAUCCCUGCACUUGUGAUGUCUGCAUGGAGAUGAAACAGAGAUUCAAAAGGGUCAGGUCACUGGCUCCAGGUCAACUCUACUACUAAACAGAAAAGCAAGGACCAAAAUUCAGAUCUUUGUGACCCUCAAUGCCACUAUGCCAUGCGAUGAUGCCUGCCUCUUUUAGAGGCCAACUAAUAGGAAUGAUGCAGCUCUGGAUGUUGGAAAGGACAAUUCCGGCGUUUUACUCUUCUGACCAGUUUCUUCGUUUUCAUAACUCUACUUGAAGAACAUAUGAUGUUUGCCAGUGUCUGACAUUACGGACCUCACAGCUUACUGAAUCUGAAAACAGGAGAUAGAGAUGGAAAGGAAAGCCUCAGGAACUUGUUGCAAUAGGGACUGCCAGGUCCCGUUGCACUAUUGGUGGAAGAGAGGUCCACACGGUGCCUACGAUAAGCGAUUUGUUCGUAUCUAUCCAGACUGCAGGUGCAUACAGCCACUCAUCCUCAAAUGCCAUCCUCAGGAGUUUAUGCUGCACACAGACUGGCACAUGUGCAGGAAGACAUAGUGCAGGGCUACGUGCUACAACAUUGUUGGUGACAGCAACAUAUUGGAAGCAACCUGAAUUUUUGUUAAUAGAGGAUUGGCUACAUAAAUGAUGCUAAUCUAUACAACUGGAGUACUAUGAUGCCAUAAAAAAGAAUGUACAAGGUCUUUACGUUUGGAAAGAUCUCUAAGAUAUAAUGAUUUUCUUUGCCUCUCAAGGGAGCUGGGAGAAACUCAAGUCUGAAACUCAAACUCAUCUCAGUCAUUCCUUUCCCUUCAACUAGACCUGAACCUCAGGAGAUCUGGAGUAUGUGCUGAAUUCUACUGGGAACUGAGCCCUCUGAAUAUUAUUAUUGUUUUGCUAAUACUUUUUGCUGGAAAGUACAUCAAACCAGGAUGUGUUGUACCUCUUGCUUUGCCAGACUAUUUAAAAGCAAAAGUGACCAGAUAUCCAACUUAAGGCUGAUCCAGGUUUUUCAUGAUCUAGCCAGGGGAGACAAACCUUCCAGGAAAGUCUCUAGCGAAGGCCAAGGAUUUUAGAAAGUAUCUGUGAACAAAGAAAUGCAAUGUUAGUGGGCUAAUUUCCAUAAUCAAAUGAAGCUGAUGCAAGUGCUUUGUGAAUUGAUGCCCAUCAACGAGAGACUGGAUAAAGAAAAUGUGGCACAUAUACGCCAUGGAAUACUAUGUAGCCGUAAAAAUG
rnacentral:lncRNA from 1 species